ACUCAAAGGAAUUGACGGGGACCCGCACAAGCGGUGGAACAUGUGGUUUAAUUCGAAGCAACGCGAAAAACCUUACCAGGGCUUGACAUCUGAAGAAUGCGAUGGAAACAUUGCAGUGCCUUCGGGAGCUUCAAGACAGGUGGUGCACGGUUGUCGUCAGCUCGUGUCGUGAGAUGUUGGGUUAAGUCCCGCAACGAGCGCAACCCUCGUCGUUAGUUGGUCAUAUCGGUACACUGAUAUGUACCUCUCUAGCGAGACUGCCGGUGAUAAACCGGAGGAAGGUGGGGACGACGUCAAAUCAUCAUGCCCCUUAUGCUCUGGGCUACACACGUGUUACAAUGGCUGGUACAACGAGUCGCCAAUCAGCAAUGAUGCGCAAAUCUCUUAAAACCAGUCUCAGUUCGGAUUGGACUCUGCAACUCGAGUCCAUGAAGUCGGAAUCGCUAGUAAACGCAGAUCAGCACGCUGCGUUGAAUACGUUCCCGGGUCUUGCACACACCGCCCGU
rnacentral:rRNA from 1 species